rnacentral:rRNA from 1 species
UGGGGAAUUGUUCGCAAUGGGCGCAAGCCUGACGACGCAACGCCGCGUGGAGGAUGAAGGUCUUCGGAUUGUAAACUCCUGUUGCCAGGGACGAAAAGCUUACACCUAAUACGUGUGAGUCUGACGGUACCUGGUGAGGAAGCCCCGGCUAACUCUGUGCCAGCAGCCGCGGUAAUACAGAGGGGGCAAGCGUUGUUCGGAAUUACUGGGCGUAAAGGGCGCGUAGGCGGCCCUCUAAGUCGGACGUGAAAUCCCCGGGCUCAACCCGGGAACUGCGUCCGAUACUGGAGGGCUUGAAUUCGGGAGAGGGAUGCGGAAUUCCAGGUGUAGCGGUGAAAUGCGUAGAUAUCUGGAGGAACACCGGUGGCGAAGGCGGCAUCCUGGACCGACAUUGACGCUGAGGCGCGAAAGCCAGGGGAGCAAACGGG